rnacentral:rRNA from 1 species
GACGAACGCUGGCGGCGUGCUUAACACAUGCAAGUCAAGGGGACCCGCAAGGGUAACCGGCGAACGGGUGCGUAACACGUGAGCAACCUGCCUCAGUGUGGGGGAUAGCCGGCCCAACGGCCGGGUAAUACCGCAUACGCUCAUUAAGUGGCAUCACUUGAUGAAGAAACUUCCGAGGCACUGAGAGGGGCUCGCGGCCUAUCAGCUUGUUGGUGGGGUAAUGGCCUACCAAGGCAACGACGGGUAGCUGGUCUGAGAGGAUGGCCAGCCACAUUGGGACUGAGAUACGGCCCAGACUCCUACGGGAGGCAGCAGUGGGGAAUAUUGCGCAAUGGGCGAAAGCCUGACGCAGCGACGCCGCGUGGGGA